GAAAGGCUGGACUAUGACCCUGGGGAACGUUCACAUCCUUAGUUAACCUUAUGCUGUGUGACCUUGGGCAGGUAGCACAACCUCUCUGAGUUUCCCGUGUGCCUCAUGUGCAGAUUGAGAUGAUGAAAUGAGAGAGCUAAAUUGUAAGCUCGUUUCACAUAGGGGGCCGUGAGCAGGUGGUCGUUUUGUCCUCUGGCACUACUGGCUCAGACUUAAGCAGCUUCAACGACUGCCAAGAUGCCUGCUAUGGUCACCAAGAUUUAAAGGGCUCUGACAAUUCUCUCUCUCCCUAAACAUUGUUUUCCCUAUCUAAUCCUAAUAACCAAGCCUGGAGGAAUCUGACUUUGUGAUUGAAGGCUCUCCAGGUCCCCUGGCUUAAGGACAGAGAUUUACUUUCUGAGGCUACAAAGGAGCAUCUGGGAGAUGGCUAGAGAGUCUCUACCUUAAGCAAAACAGGGAGGAGGGGUGAAGCUCUACAAAUUGUUUCUGGCUUGGGCUUUUUCUUUCUCUCUCUUUUGGGGUGUCUUCUCUGGCCAAGAACACCUGUGAGUCCUUGAUGUCAUGACUAGGAAAGAUAUUUUGUUUUUAAUUCAUGUAACUAAUCUUUAGAGAAAAUGGAUCCUGAAAACAUGUUAUUUUCUGAUCACAGAAUGACUGCAUUACUCAGAAUUCUUUACUUCCACCGGAAUUUAGUGAAGGGAAGGCACAGCCUACAUUAGGAAAAUACAGGACACACUCCAGUCCUUAAACCUUCCACAAUCCUCUAACUCUUUAAGUCCAAUAUGAUCCUCCCCAGAACUGCAUCCUCCAGGAAGCUCAUGAGAAAGGAAGAAUCCCAGGUCCCACCCCUGAUGUUCUGAAUCGGUAUCUGCAUUUUAACAGAAUCCUGAAGCACUUGUUUAACCCCUUUGGUGAUGUUAUGGUCUGAAUGGAUACCUCCAAAAUUCACAUAUUAAAAUAACCCCAAGGUGAUAUUAGGAAGUGGGGCCUUUGGGAGGUAAUUAAGUCACGAGGGUGGAGCCUUCAUGAAUGGGAUUUGUUCUCUUAGAAAAAAGACCCCAGAGCUCCCUUUCCACCAUGUAAGGAUACAAGUACAAGAAGAUGGCAGACUGCAAAUUGGAAAAGGGCCCUCCUCAAAACAUGAUCAUCUUGGCACCUUGAUUUCAUACUUCCAUCUUCCAGAACUGUGAGAAGUAAAUUUCUUUUAUAAACACCCAGUCAAUGGUACUUUAUUAUAGCAGCUUGAAUGGACUAAGACUGGUGGUCUGGUUUAAAGUGAUGUGGUGGCAUCAGAAAUUUAAGGAGAGAUUGGAUUCACAGAACUGGAAUCUGGAAUGCCAUUGACAGAACAAAUAUUUCCUGCACUUGAACAUUGUCAGCAGGUCGAUUCAGGAGACAGAUGAAAGCUUUAUCACCGGGCAGCCUGGAUGAACGUCACAACUUUGAACUCUUUCACAUAAAGGAACGAUAAGGGCAUCCACUAUUUCUACACCUAGCUGGCAGAGUGAAAUCUCACCAAAGAUUUGUCACUUGGCUGACCUCCAAACCUGCCCAUCAGCCAGAAAUCAAGAAGCCUACAAGUCACAGCUGGAUCCACUGGUGGAACAAAGCUCAGCUGCCAAUUUCAGAAAAGAAAGCGUGUUCUGCUCUGGAGUCACAUUUAAUUAUGCAGAAUUUAUGUAUUUUAUUUUUUUGUAACGCUUGCAUGUUAAACCAUAAAUGUGAGCUAAUAAAAGAUAAUAUGUAUGAAAUACCUAGCAGGGUUAGGCAGAGGAGACACAAAAUAAAUCCAUCUUGCUUGUUCCCCUUGUACUUCUCUCUCCUGUACUUUACAAGUAGAAUAAUAACUUGUUAGAGGUGGUUAAUUAAUGUAAACUUCCAAAAACACUAUCAACACAAAAUGGUGCUCAUAUGUUUGUGAACGAAGAUAGAUAGGAGGAUACGAUUAGAAAAAUGUAAUCUACUUUCCCCAAAAGACCCAAGAUGAAUGCCCAUUGGUACAUUUUCAUAGUGGGCUAGGUUAAGCUAUACAAAAUAACAAGAGCCUUCUAAUUAUUAGAAUAUAACAUGUUUUAUAAAAGUAUAACUCACUGCCCCCACCAAUGCUACAGCAAAAUCUAACAACUAAUCUUAUUUCAAAUAUAAUUGUAGAAAUAUGUUAGGAGCAUCAAAGUACAUGUAGAACAAAUAAGGAAACUAAGAAGAUGCAUUGAAUAUCUAAACAGCUCCAUAGCCAGUCAGUGGGUUUUGGAAUUCAACUCUGAAAACUGCACCAAUGCUUUAAUCUUCUUCCCAUUGUUUAUUUUCCAUGGUCUUACUCAGAAUGUAGAAACUGUGUCCUAUUUUUAGUACUGAGGAAGAAAUAGAUAAAUAUAUAUUAUAAGCUAAAAAUUCAGAGUAACCAGGUGAUCAACAGAAUGGGAGAAAAUAGUUGCAAACUAUACCUCUGAUAAGAAACUUGUAUUAGUACAUUUUCAUGCUGCUGAUAAAGACAUACCCAAGACUGGGCAAUUUACAAAAGAAAAAAGUUUAUUGGACUAAAAGUUCCACAUGGCUUGGCAGGCCUCACAAUCAUAGUGGAAGGUAAUAAGCACAUCUCACAUGACUUCAGACUAGAAGAGAGCUUGUGCAGGGAAAGUCCCUUUUUUAAAACAAUCAGAUCUCAUGAGACUUAUUCACUAUCAUGAGAACAGCAUGGGAAAGACCUGACCCCGUGAUUCAAUUACCUCCCACUGAGUUCUACCCACAACAUGUGGGAACUCAAGAUGAGAUUUGGAAGAGGACACAGCCAAACCACAUCAAAACCAAUACCCAGAAUCUACAGGGAACUCAAAUCAGCAAGCAAAAAAGCAAAGAAUCCCAUUGAAGUGGGCAAACUACAUGAACAAACACUUCCCUGAAGAAGAUAUGUAAAUGGCCAAGAAACAUGAAAAAAUGCUUAACAUUGCUAAUCAUCAAGGAAAUGCAAAUUAAAACUAUGUUAAUACCACCUUAUCUUAGCCAGAAUGGUCAUUAUUUAAAAAUCAAAAAACAAUAACUGUUGGCAUGAAUGUGGUGAAAAAAAAAACACUUAUAUACUGUUGGUAGAAAUGUAAAUCACUACAGCCUCUAUGGAAAACAAUAUAGAGAUUCUCAAAGAGUUCAGUGUAGAUUUACUAUUUGAUCCAGUGAUCCCACUACUAGGUAUCUGUCCAAAGGAAAAGAUGUCAUUAUAUUAAAAAAGCACCCACAUACACAUGUUUAUUGUAGCACAAUCCAUAAUUAUAAAGAAAUGGAAUCAACCUAAGUGCCCACCAAUCUAUGUGUGGCUAAAGAAAAUGUGUUUUAUAUACACACAAACACAUACGCGUGCACACACACACACACACACACACACACACACACACCAUGGAAUACUACUCAGCCAUAAAAAAGAAUGAAAUAAUAUCUUUUGCAGCAACUUGAUAGAAUUGCAAGCUAUUAUCCUAAGUGAAGUAACUCAGGAAUGGAAAACCAAAUGCCACAUGUUCUCACUUGUAAGUGGGGGUUAAGCUGUGACUGUGCAAAAACAUACAGAGUAAUGUAAUAGACAUUGGAGACACAGAAGAGGCAAGAAUGGUAGGAGGUAGGGGAUGAAAAAUUGCCUGUUGGGUACAAUGUAUGCUCUUUGGGUGAGGGGUACACUAAAAGGCUGGACCUUGCCACUGUACAGUGCAUUCAUGUAACCAGAAACUACUGGUACCCUCAAAGCUAUUGAAAUGACAAUAAAUUAACAAAUACUGUAAGCAAAAUACAAUAUAUGUCAUAAAUGCACAGAGCAUGUAUGUGAUGCAUUUAUGUGAUUUUAUCCAUAUUUGAUGAUUUGAUAUAUGAGAUUAGGAGGCCUUUAACUAGAAUAUACUUGGAUUUUGGAGACAUGAGUUCUGUACUUCUUGUGUACUAUAAAAUUUCUGGAUGCAAAACUUUUUUGAUUUUGCAGUGCACAGCAAAAUGGAACCAUCUUUUCUGGGCACAUGACAGAAAUUAAAAGGAGCAGGGGCUAAGUUCAAAGGGAUAUAAUUAAUGUCCUAAAGGGGUUAAAAGCAUAAACUUAAUCAUUCCAUCAUCAGGUGACCUGCCAGCAUGAGAACAUUGCUGAAUCUUGUACGAGUUAGAUUCAGGAGAAAGUGGUAAUUCUUCCAUGAUUAGAAUUACUUGUCAGGCUCACUUUAAGGAUACAUAAAUCUGAGUUUUUCCUGGUGACAACCAGCCCAAUCAAAGAAAGCAUAUGUUAAAUAGAAUGAAAUUACAUUGUAAAUCAAUAAGCCCAAAUUAGAAUAGCACUGUACAACUUCCCUCAGUAUUGUGAUUCCAAAGUUUUGUUAUACAAGUGAGGUUAGGAGACAGAUUGGGAGACAGACAUCGUAAAUGUUAAAGAAUGGUUGUGACGGAGGUUACUAAAGAGCUAGCUAUACUGAUAAAAUACAUCAGAUUGUUUAUGCCUAAAAUGUAUGGAAAUACAAAUGUUGGAAACAAA